UCCUUGCCAGCAUCUAUAGUCUCCUGAUUUGUUCAUUUUGGCCACUCUGACUGGCGUGAGGUGGAUGCUGAUAUAUCAAUUAAGGGUGAAUCUUUGAAGUGAGUCAGCUGCAGCUUCGCUCUCCUAUAAUUGAAGAGAGAGAGAAUUACAGAGAAAGAGGCCAGGCACUCUUUCCUCCAGACAAAGCUGUGGUUUCAAUUUCUCAUUCCCUACCGAGAGACGGGGAGAAUACAUUGAUACUGCAUUUCAAAUUGGCUA